rnacentral:rRNA from 1 species
UACGUAGGGGGCUAGCGUUGUCCGGAAUCAUUGGGCGUAAAGAGCGUGUAGGCGGCUCGGUAAGUCCGCUGUGAAAGUCCAGGGCUCAACCCUGGAAUGCCAGUGGAAACUGUCGAGCUAGAGUCCGGAAGAGGCGAGUGGAAUUCCUGGUGUAGCGGUGAAAUGCGCAGAUAUCAGGGGGAACACCAAUGGCGAAGGCAGCUCGCUGGGACGGUACUGACGCUGAGACGCGAAAGCGUGGGGAGCAAACAGG